GUUUUAACGUACGAAUCUAAACAAUACGCAGUAUUGUAAAAACUUUUAAACAUCUCAACUGAUUGUUCAGUGAAAUUACUAUUGCAUUUUUUUUUAACUUUUAUCUUAAAUUGAUUCUGAAAUAAAUGUGCGCUAACAUUUAACAUUCAAUUGUAGAUCGCAAAUAGUUGAACAUUCUAAUCAAGGUGCUGCUAUCGAGAAUAGCUUAUACCAGUCUGCAAGUGAUCUAACUGAACCAUCAACAGCUUCUGGUAUUUUGGAGACAGCCAAUCGUUCCAUUGAUAAAAUCAAAACAAAUGUGAAAAGACAAAUAGUAGGUUAUAAAAUUGUUGGAACAGAAGACAGCAGGCGGCCGUUUGACUGUGCAGACUUGAAUAAAAGAGAAGAAAAUAAUAUCUGUUACGAUUCAUCAACUCUUAAUUACGUUGAAGUUAUCUUUGACCCUGUUGAAGCUAAAAGUAAAUUUCACAUUCAUGGAGCUGAAAACAGGACACCGUAUGCUGACAUAGACUUGUCUUUAACAGCAGAUCCAUUGAUUUCUUCUGAUGAAGAGUCUUUAUCUGUUCGUGAAGACAAUAACGACUUUGUGUCUCUGGAGGAUGUGCAGCAGUGGGAUAUUCAUGAGAGUUGAAUUUUAUGUUAAUUUAGGUGUCCCAUUUAUCUAUUUUAACUCAAAUUGGAGCAUAAUGAAUGUAUUAACAAACUUGAUUAUUUGUUGUUAAUAUAAUCCAAAAAUACAAAAGUAUAAUUUAAUAUUAACAUGAUUAUCAUAUUGAAAGAUUGGGGAAGUACCUCAUGUAUUGUUCGUAUUGGUAUGGUAGCUGGGGUCUCUAUGGUAGACAUCUUCGGACUUAAUUUGUAUAUUGACAUUUCAGGAUAAUUAUACUGGUAUAUUGUGUUUUGAAUAGAUGAUUAUGUCUUAACUAAAAUUUGAAAAAUCAUUAAUUUUCAUAGUUUAUUUCUGUUAGUUCCUAUAUUUAAAUUCAUUCCUAAUACAAACAUGACAAAAGAGUAUCAACAUCAUAUAUAAUUACCUUCAUUUGCACUAUUACAUGUCAGUUUUGAGUGCACUUUUGACUCUAAGUUUUAAUUUUUUGUAAAUUGAUUCUUACUUAAUGUUUUUAAUAAAACACUUGAUAUAUUUGUUUUCCACCUA